GUUGCGCUUCAUUUGCUGCUCUCUUUUGAUGUAGCUGUGUUCUCCAGUGGAUGGGACUCCUUUCUUGUUUUUAGCUAUGUUGUGUUGAGGGAUCCUGUCAACUGGAUGAUGUUAACUAUUUUGAAUAUGACCGGUAUGGAGAUAAUGGAAUGCUUGGAACCAUAAGUGUUCAGAUUGUAACAUUUUUUCCACUGUUUCACUAUAUUUGUUGCCUUUUUGGCUUGUAAAUUAAUGCAUGUGAAAAAACUAAGUUGUAGCCUUUCCAUCCCCCUCACCUUUUUGUUGUUGACAAUCUUAAGUAAGGGCAUUGUAAUUUAUCACUGUUAAUUAAUUUUCUUCCUUUGGACUCCAGAAAGCUUGUGAAUGAGAAAAUUUCUUUCUCAA